UUCCAUCUGAACUCUCUACUAUAAACGAAGAGUUUCUUUCCAUCUGAACUCUCUACUAUAAACGAAGAGUUUCUUUCCAUCUAAACUCUCUACUAUAAACGAAGGGGUCCCUUCCAUCUGAACUCUCUACUAUAAACGAAGAGUUUCUUUCCAUCUGAACUCUCUACUAUAAACGAAGGGGUCCCUUCCAUCUGAACUCUACUAUAAACGAAGAGUUUCCUUCCAUCUAAACUCUCUACUAUAAACGAAGAGUUUCCUUCCAUCUAAACUCUCUACUAUAAACGAAGGGGUCCCUUCCAUCUGAACUCUACUAUAAACGAAGAGUUUCUUUCCAUCUGAACUCUCUACUAUAAACGAAGAGUUUCCUUCCAUCUAAACUCUCCUCUCUUUUCCAUCCCUCCUCUUUUCUCUCUUUCCUUCUCUCCCUGGCUUUGUAGUGUGCCACAGGGGGUUGGUUUGAGAGGGAGGGUGGUAUUCUGUCUGUCUGUGUGUGUGUGUGUGUGUGUGUGUGUGUGUGUGUGAGUUAAUUUUUUCAGUUGCUCCAUUUGUCUCUGGGCAGGGAGUGUGUGAAUAGGGAACAAGACCCCUUCUAUCUCCUUUUCUCUCUAGAUCUUUGCUCUCGUUCUCUCUCCGACCCUGUUACUCUCUCUCCCUCCCCAUUUCCUGUCUCUCUUUCUCUCUCCUCCCCUUUACUCUCUAUCCCUUCCCAUUUCCUGUCUUUCCUAUUCUCCCCUCCUCUCUCUUCUCUUCCCUUUUCACUCUCUAACCCCUCUCCCUACCUCCUUCCCUCUAUCUCUCUGUCUCCCCCUCUCCCUCCAUCUCUCUCUCUCUCCCUCCCUCUCCUUCUCCCUCUCUCUCUCUCCCUCUCUCUCUCUCCUCCCUGCUCCCUCCCUCUAUCUCUCUCAGUUUCUCCCUCCGUCAGGUCCCAGAGGUGCUGUUUCCACAGACUGACUAAACCAGGCCAUUGUCCAUGUUUCUUUCUCUCUCUCUCUCCCUCCCUCUCUCGCUCCAUGUUUAUUUAUCUCUCCAUGUUUCUUUUCUCUCUCUCUCUCCAUCCCUCUCUCUCCCUCCAUGUUUCUUUCUCUCUCUCCCCUCCCCUCUUCCAUCUCUGUAGCUGAAUGUACCACGGCUAAAAAUGAACUCAGAUCAGCAGGAAAAGACCAGAAUGUAGGACACCAGUUAGUUACAGUGGGGCAAAAAAGUAUUUAGUCAGCCACCAAUUGUGCAAGUUCUCCCACUUAAAAUGAUGAGAGAGGCCUGUAAUUUUCAUCAUAGGUACACUUCAACUAUGACAGACAAAAUGAGAAGAAAAAAAUCCAGAAAAUCACAUUCUAGGAUUUUUAAUGAAUUUAUUUGCAAAUUAUGGUGGAAAAUAAGUAUUUGGUCACCUACAAACAAGCAAGAUUUCUGGCUCUCACAGAACUGUAAAAGGUUUGGACUAGACAGGCCUCCGUAGACUGAUCCAAGGUCAGUUAGCUAGUGUCUCUGCUGAGGUCGAUGCUGGGGUCAGUUAGUUAGGUUUGGACUAGACAUAGACUGAUCCAAGGUCAGUUAGUUACACGGAACCCAAACCGGCCGCGCACCAUCGUGCAUACAUGUAUUUUACCCAAACGCGAUCACGACACGCAGGUUAAAACAUUAAAACAAACUCUGAACCAAUUACAUUCAUUUGGGGACAGGUCGAAAAGCAAUUAACAUUUUGGCAAUUUAGCUAGUUAGUUAGCACUUGCUAGCUAACAUGUACUAUUAAGCUAGCUUGCUGUUGCUAGCUAAUUUGUCCUGGGAUAUAAACAUUGAGUUGUUAUUUUACCUGAAAUGCACAAGAUCCUUUACUCCACCAAAUUAAUCCACACGUAAAAUGGUCAACCAAAUCGUUUCUAUUCAUCUCUCCUCCUUCCAAGCUGUAUUCUCCUCUGGACUUUAGAUUGCAAUUGGCAAUUUUCAUAAAUUAGCUAGUGUCUCCGUUGAUCUUUCAGUCACCUACGUGGGUAUAACCAAUGAGGAGAUGGCAUCUGGGUACCUGCUUCUAUAAACCAAUGAGGAGAUGGGAGAGGCAGGACUUGCAGCGUAAUCUGCGUCACAAAUAGAAGUGACUUCUAUUUUAGCCCUUGGCAACGCAGACACUCGUUGGCGCACGCCAGCAGUGUGGCUGCAAUAAUUGAAUAAUAUAGAUUUCUAAAUGUAUUUUACAACGCCAGCAGUGUAAUCAGCCUGUCAGGUUUGGAAUAAACAGGCCUCCAUAGACUGAUCCAAGGUCAGUUAGCUAGUGUCUCUGCUAAGGUCGAUGCUGAGGUCAGCCUGUCAGGUUUGGAAUAAACAGGCCUCCAUAGACUGAUCCAAGGUCAGUUAGCUAGUGUCUCUGCUGAGGUCGAUGCUGAGGUCAGCCUGUCAGGUUUGGAAUAAACAGGCCUCCAUAGACUGAUCCAAGGUCAGUUAGUUCCUCCCCAAUUUAGUGAUAUCCAAUAUUAGUUACUGUCUUGUCCCAUCGCUGGCAACUCCCAUACGGACUCGGGAGAGGCGAAGGCCGAGAGCCGAAACAUGACCCGGCCAAGCCGCACUGCUUCUUGACACAGUGCUCGCUUAACUCGGAAGACAGCCGCACCAAUGUGUUGGAGGGAAAACACCGUCCAACUGAUGACCGAAGUCAGCGUGCAUCCGCCCGGCAAGGAAUCGCUAGAUCGCAAUGUGACAAGGACAAACCCGGCCGGCCAAACCCUUCCCGAAACAGGACGACGCUGGGCCAAAUGUGCACCACCUCAUGGCUCUCCCGGUCGGCUACGACACAUCCCGGGAUCGAAACCAGGUCUGGGGUGACGCCUUUAGCACUGCGAUGCAGUGCCUUAGACCUCUGCCCCACUCGGGAGGCCCCUUCUUGUGUAUUUUACCAAUGAAGAAAAUAUCCAAACCUCUGUGACUCACUGAAAGCUGUAGCAUUUGACCGUGUUUGAAACACACACACACACACACACACACACUAACCCAGUACAAACACACAAUAAGUGUCACGUUCUGACCUUUAUUUCCUUUGUUUUGUCAUUAUUUAGUAUGGUCAGGGCGUGAGUUGGGGUGGGCAGUCUAUGUUUUUUUUUUAAUGAUUUGGGUAUUUCUAUGUUUCGGCCUAGUAUGGUUCUCAAUCAGAGGCAGGUGUCAUUAGUUGUCUCUGAUUGAGAAUCAUACUUAGGUAGCCUGGGUUUCACUGUGUGUUUGUGGGUGAUUGUUCCUGUCUCUGUGUUUGCACCAGAUAGGACUGUUUGUGGGUGAUUGUUCCUGUCUGUGGGUGAUUGUUCCUGUCUGUGGGUGAUUGUUCCUGUCUGUGGGUGAUUGUUCCUGUGUUUG
ensembl:lncRNA